rnacentral:rRNA from 1 species
GACGUAGGGCGCGAGCGUUGUCCGGAUUUAUUGGGCGUAAAGAGCUCGUAGGCGGCUUGUCGCGUCGACUGUGAAAACCCGCGGCUCAACUGCGGGCCUGCAGCCGAUACGGGCAGGCUAGAGUUCGGUAGGGGAGAUUGGAAUUCCUGGUGUAGCGGUGGAAUGCGCAGAUAUCAGGAGGAACACCGAUGGCGAAGGCAGAUCUCUGGGCCGUAACUGACGCUGGAGGAGCGGAAAGCAUGGGGAGCGAACAGG